GGAACUUACUCAAGCCAGGCAGUUGUGAAGUGGUAAAACUCAGAUUUGAACACAAAAGAUGAGGACAGGAAAGUCUAGCGCUCCUACUUGGGGGAAGCCUUAGAGAGACCUGUGCCCUGAGGAGCCUUGAUUUGUUCUCAUGAGAGAAGUGCUCCUGCCUGACCGAGGGGAUAUUUGGCUCCAGAUUAGGAAGAAGUGGGUGGAGAGGCUCCUUCUUACUGGCUCUGGAGUGAACAAGCACAAACCAUGGAUUGAGACUUCGUAUCAUGGAGUCAUAACAGAGAACAAUGACACAGUCAUUUUGGACCCACCAUUGGUCGCCCUGGAUAAAGAUGCACCAGUUCCUUUCGCAGAAUCCUGCAGCUGGAGAUAAGGAAGCUUAAAGACAUGAUGAAAACAAACAAAGAGCUCGUAGUUUGUCUUCCUGCACAGCAAAUACAACCCCCACCUGACUCACAAGCACUCUCCCUUUUCUCCGAAUGUGAAGAGUCCCCAGCCUUAGUCUCAGCCAAGGCAGCUGUCUCCACUAGGGAAUGAUUGUUCAUUGCCAUUUACAGCAGACUGCAGAGAGGAGAAACCUUGAUGGAAAUAGACUGGCAUCAUAUAGUCAGGUCUCAUAAAAUCAUAGCAAUCGCCUGCCUACUAUGUGCUUGGUACUUUACUG
rnacentral:lncRNA from 1 species